CUGUCACCAACUGUCUUCUCACUCUGGGGUCCAAUUCACUUUCAAAUGCCUUCUAACAAUGUCUUCUCUGGCUCAGCUCAGCUUCUACUGGCUCAAUGUUGCCUACUUUCACUCUGCUCAAUCUCUUUUGUCCACCAACUGCCCUCUCUUCUUUCCUCCUGUGCCAACUGUCUGCUCUAACCCCAUUCUCUGAAUCUAAUCCCCCUCUCAGGAACCUCUCCUGAGUUUUUCUAUCUUCCCCUCUCGCUCCCAACUCCUCCCUCUGCCGAAAUCUCGCGCUCUUGCCUUUAUUUUACAAAUUCAGAGAGAACUCCAAGGCAAACCACAACACAGGUCAUAGCUUCUUUGUGUCAGUCUGUCACCAACAGUGAAUUUGUCCUGUCAUUCCUUGUGCAGGACAGUAACUUUGUGUGAGGUGGAUGCAAGCCUCAGUGGUGCAGUGAUUAAAAUUCCAGGGAAAUUGCAUGCUAUACGAAACAUUCAGAACUUACAGGACCUAGGAAUGCAAACCCAGGAAGCAUCAGCAUACAUGAUUAUGUUACAUUAUGUAAAGAGGACAAAGAUGCAGUGAAAACAGCUCAGGGUGGAGGAAAUGGCAGCUGUCUGUUGCAAUGUGAUGCUGUUCAUUUUGUAUGUGAGAAAAUAUGUCUGACAAUAAGCUCAGUUCAACAAGCACAUUGAAG
rnacentral:lncRNA from 1 species